UACAGAGGGUGCAAGCGUUAAUCGGAAUUACUGGGCGUAAAGGGUGCGUAGGCGGCCUUAUAAGUCAGUGGUGAAAUCCUAUCGCUUAACGAUAGACGUGCCAUUGAUACUGUAGGGCUUGAGUACAGAUGCCGUUGGCGGAAUGUGUCAUGUAGCGGUGAAAUGCAUAGAUAUGACACAGAACACCGAUUGCGAAGGCAGCUGACGAAACUGUAACUGACGCUGAGGCACGAAAGCGUGGGGAUCAAACAGG
rnacentral:rRNA from 1 species